rnacentral:RNase_MRP_RNA from 1 species
CUAGCCACAGGAUGAAGUGAGCGGGCCUAACAAGCCCUGGAAAGUCCCCGGGCCCCAUGCGCAGCGAUGCGCCCACGGAGACGUGGACGGCCCAUGAGCCGGCCCUCCCUGCCUCGGCGGGGGGCUGAGACGAGUGUGGAGCCCUAAUCACAGGGGGCCGGCUCUGGGUCAAUUGGCUAAUCUCACAGUUAUUCACUUGUUCCAAAUAAUGGAUUAACAGAACGGGGCUUACACUCCUGUGGCACCACC